CCUGACCUCCGCCCAGCUUCAGCUCGGUGAUGACGGGCCGGCUCAACGGCACGGCGGACGGCGUGCAGUUGUUCCUCUGGCCCGGGGAGGGAGCGGACACCCUGAAGCCCCAGCGAUCUUCAGACAACAAACACCUGGAUAGGGCGCUUUCAUCCUCGACAAAUGCCAGCUCCCCUGGCGUGAGGAUAUCUGCCAGGACCUCAGCUCCGCCUGUCUUGCGUGUGGUAUAAACAAUGGCGUCCACCAAACCCAUGGAGGUGACGUUCAUCUUCUCGACAUACCGCGCCGCCGACGUAUGAUAGAGCGCGACGGCGUCAUCCGGACCGUUCUGGACGGUGUUGGGAGGCAGGAGGAUGGCGGGUUUGGGGAGCAUGUCCAACGAGCCGACCAGGAAGAAGCCCCUGUCGUCCGUGCUGUGGCCAUUUAGGUCUAAAACUUUAUAAGCCACGUUUCCGUUCCCGUUGUAGAAGACCAGAGUGAAUCCGUCCAGGGAAGACCGUUGUCCGCUGGUGUGGUACAACUCCACGAACUCGCUGGUGUCCAGUUUGGGGUUGUCGGCGUUGAUCUCGCUGAUGAUGAGGCAGGGCUCGCCCCGAAUCGGUGCCGCGAGGAGCAGACACAGCAAAGUGAGCACCAUCAUCAUGAAGCACCUUCUGAAAAAACAAAUUGUCUUCAGUCUUAUUUUUUUUUGCAAAAAGACAAAACAUUGGUGACUAGGCCAUACUUUAGAAAUUGAAUGUGUCUGCAUUGACAUGUGCUGUGCACAUGGUGCAGUGUUAAACAUACUAGUGCAUUGUAUAAACUGAGAUGGAAUCAAAACAUUAUUAAAAAAAAAAAAAAGGAGC